ensembl:misc_RNA Metazoa_SRP Metazoan signal recognition particle RNA
GCCAAGCACCCGGAGCUGCGGCGCGUGUUUGUAAUCCCAGCUCCCCGGGAGGCUGAAGUCCGCAUUGUGAGUGCUCUGGAAUUCGGGGCUACAGCGCUGUAUGGAGCAGACGUCCGCACCGAGCCUGGCACCAACGUGGGAUUCCCAGGGGCUCUUGGAGGUACCAGGUUGUCUAAGGAAGGAGGACCCGGCCCAGGCCGGACGCGGAGCAGGUUAAACUCCCGGUGCUGGUCUCCGGUGGGACUGAGCCUGAGAGCAAUUCCUGCAGUUCCGCUAGGAAUAUCUGACGAAACCCGGUCU